rnacentral:rRNA from 1 species
AACGAACGCUGGCGGCAGGCCUAACACAUGCCAGUCGAGCGAGGACUUCGGUUCUAGCGGCGGACGGGUGAGUAACGCGUGGGAAUGUGCCCUUCUCUACGGAAUAGCCCUGGGAAACUGGGAGUAAUACCGUAUACGCCCUAUUGGGGAAAGAUUUAUCGGAGAAGGAUCAGCCCGCGUUGGAUUAGGUAGUUGGUGGGGUAAUGGCCUACCAAGCCGACGAUCCAUAGCUGGUUUGAGAGGAUGAUCAGCCACACUGGGACUGAGACACGGCCCAGACUCCUACGGGAGGCAGCAGUGGGGAAUCUUAGACAAGGGGGGCAACCCUGAUCUAGCCAUGCCGCGUGAGUGAUGAAGGCCUUAGGGUUGUAAAGCUCUUUCAGCUGGGAAGAUAAUGACGGUACCAGCAGAAGAAGCCCCGGCUAACUCCGUG